GUUAUGGGUGACCAANCAGANNACGGUAACCGGCCUGAGAGGAUGACCGCCCACAGUGGGACUGAGACACAGCCCAGACUCUUACGGGAGGCAGCAGUGGGGAAUAUUGCACAAUGGGCGNAAGCCUGAUGCAGCGACGCCGCGUGAGGGAUGACGGCCUUCGGGUUGUAAACUUCUUUCAGCACGGAAGAAGCGAAAGUGACGGUACGUNCAGAAGAAGCCCGCUAU
rnacentral:rRNA from 1 species